GUMSGKUKGCGAGCGUUGUCCGGAUUUAUUGGGCGUAAAGAGCUCGUWKGCGGUUCGGCAAGUCGGAUGUGAAAUCUCCACGCUCAACGUGGAGGGGCCAUCCGAUACUGCCGUGACUCGAGUCCGGUAGGGGAGUGUGGAAUUCCCGGUGUAGCGGUGAAAUGCGCAGAGAUCGGGAGGAACACCCGUAGCGAAGGCGGCACUCUGGGCCGGUACUGACGCUGAGGAGCGAAAGCGUGGGGAGCGAACAGGAUUAGAUACCCUGGUAGUCCACGCCGUAAACGUUGGGCACUAGGUGUGGGACCCUAUCGACGGGUUCCGUGCCGUAGCUAACGCAUUAAGUGCCCCGCCUGGGGAGUACGGCCGCAAGGCUA
rnacentral:rRNA from 1 species